rnacentral:lncRNA from 1 species
UCUAUUCGAUGAUCGAUCAACACAGUGCUUUGAUGUUGAUGGAGAAGAAAAAAAAGAAAAACUGUCUCUCUCUCGACGAGAGAGGUUAAAUUUAUACAGGCAAGUUCUGUUUAACAGGAGAGAGAGAGGAGGGGGAGGGGAGCAGGUUAGGGGAACAGAUUUCUGGCGAGAUUCGAGCGAAUUCGAGGCGAUCGUGCGGGCGAGGACAAAGUGGGGACAAAGCUUUGGAACGAAUUUGACAACUUUAUUGGACCGGAUCCAACCAACCUUUCCUUCUUCGCGGUUUUCUAUAUAUGCGCGCCACGUAUAUCGUACAAACUACCACUCUCCGAUAUUCCACAAGUAACGAAAUCAUACUUGUGGAUAAUUAUCGAAGUGGAAGCCACCAAAUGGGCCAUCAUUUUGUAAUUAAUGAUAAUGAAACGAAGUUCUGAAUGAAUAUUGAAUAUUUCUUAAUGACGUAAGACAGUUUCCAGAGAGAAGUCAAUGAAGACUGGAUUAUGUAAUGAAAUCAUCGAGGAUAAUUAUCAGAGUGGAAGCCACAAAGUGGGCCAUCAUUUUGUAAUUACUGAUAAUGAUAAUGAAACGAAGUUCUGAAUGAAUAUUGAAUAUUUCUUAAUGACGUAAGAAUAUUUUCUUUUUCCUGAUAGUUUCCAGAGAGAAGUCAAUGAAGAUUGGAUUAUGGUAAUUAUAUUUUCCAGAGAGAAGUCAAUGAAGACUAUGUAUCAUCGAAAUCAUCGAGCAUACGGAUAAUUAUCAAAGUGGAAGCCACAAAGUGAGCCAUCAUUUUGUAAUUAAUGAUCGCUAAUGAUAAUGAAAUGAAGUUCUGAAUGAAUACUGAAUUUCUUAAUGACGUAACGAAAUUAUACGGAUAAUUAUCAGAGUGGAAGCCAUAAAAGAGAAGCGUUCUCCUGGAGGAAGUCAAUGAAGACUGGAUUAUUGUAAUUAGAUUUUCCAGAGAGAAGUCAUUGAAGAGUGGAUUAUUGUAAUUAUACGUACAUAUCUUUCUAUAUAUAUAUUUUUUCAUUGUCAUCGAAAUUUUCUUCACAUUCAAAUGAAAUCAUCAAGCAUACGGAUAAUUAUCAAAAUGGAAGCCACAAUUAAUGAUAAUGAAACGAAGUUCUGAACACUGAAUAUUAUCUAAGGACGUAAGAAUAUUUCCUUUCUUCUGAUAGAGAGAAGCGUUCUUCUGGAGGACAUCAAUGGAGGCUGGAUCAUCGUAAUUACAUUAACGAAAUCAUCGAGCAUACGAAUAAUUAUCAAAGUGGAUUCACAAAGUGGGCCAUCAUUUUGUAAUUAAUGAUAAUGAUCAAAACGAAGUUCUGAAUACUGAAUAUUUCUUAAUGACGUAAGACAGUUUCUCCUGAUAAAGAGAAGCAUUUUCCUGAAGGACGAAUGCUCGAGAUUGGAUUAUCAUAAUUACAUAUACGUAUCUUUCUAUGUAUAUUUUUAUUAUCAUCGAAAUUUUCUUCUUGCAACAGAUUUGAUCCCUCUUGAUUCAUUUUAAAAAUAUUAUACUUAUACUUUGUUAAAAAUUUCAAGAAAGAGUAUUGAUUUAAUAAUAAAUUACAUUUUUAAUAUUAUCUUUAACUCCAUCCAGUGUUGUAAUAAAUUACUCAUUGAAAAGGUAAUUUAGAAAAAAUUAACAUUAAACCAUUUUCCAUUCGAAGUCUUAAACAUCUACUUUACUAGAGAUUUACUUUCGAAGAAAAAGUAUCACUGUAUUAACAAUACCAUUAUAUCUCUCUAUCCAUUAAUUUAUCUAAUUAAGAAAAUCUGACAACGGUCAUUAAAUCCAAAGAAAUUAAUAAAAUUCACGAUUCCUUCGCGAAAAAAAUACAUCCAUUUUCCCCCAAAUUUGAAACAUCAAAUUUUCACUCUCAAUCCCAACCAACAACUACAAUGAAACCAAGUUAGAUCCUUCUGACUCGCAGACACAACACCCGACCAUAUCUCGAACAAUAACAACUGAUAAUAUUCGACCUCGAUACUCGAGUUCGUUCUCAACGGAGAAAGAACACGAAUAAAUUUACCAAGAACAUGAGAGAGAGAGAAGAAUUGGAUUAAGCAAGAAGGAGGAAGUAGAGCAGUCGAUGGACGGACGGACAGACGUUGCUAAUUGACUCUCCUCCACUUCUCGAUUUUUUUUCUCCAUUACACCACGAUGCUUUCCUGCUCGUCGAAACGCGCCCCUUCAUUCUUCUUCUCGACGAAGAUUGCGCGUUUCCCGCGAUGUCAGCUGAUCGUUUUUACGCUCAAAAAGAGUUUAAGAGAGAGAAUGAAGUGAUAAAAAUGAUAUCGAUAAAUAAAUA